rnacentral:tRNA from 1 species
AAUAGCUCAGUGGUAGAGCAUUUGCCUGGCAUGUUAAAGCCCUGGGUUUAAUCCCCAGUU